CAGGUAGAGCUGGGCAGGUAGACCUGGAAAGGCCUGGACAGGUAGACCUGGAUGGGUAGACCUGGACAGGUAGACCUGGACUGGCCUGGACGGGUAGACCUGGACGGAUCGCC